CUGCUUUGUACAAACUUUCGAAAAGGCCCAAACCAUGGAUGAGGGGGCUCAGUCUACCAUUCGUAAAUUCACAGACGCAGCCUGCAAGGAACACAAACAGCCCUUGAAAGGCAAGUAAUGUUAAAUACCACCCCCUCCUCCCACACCUGAUGUAAGACACCUCCAGAUGUUUGACUUCACCUUGUACACGGGAAAAUGCCUCUGUAGUUUUGGUGCUGGCCAGUACUCAACAGGUCCUCACUCAUUGCCCAGGCUGUACCAUGGCCAUUAUUUCCAAGGCAGGCAGAACAAGAACACUGAUCCUACUACGAAACCUUUUCAAUCUGGAUGUAAAAAAAAAAAUGGACAGUGACGUCCAAGGAAACAAAAUGAUGCUGACCAGCAUGCCAGGCAAUGAAACCCCAAUCAUUUGUGCUUUGUGAGGUACAGGCCUUUGUGAAGCUUUUUACAGAAUUCUCUGAAGAACAGUGCAGCUGCUGAGAAGGUUUUUAUGAAGACCUUUACGCAAGCAUAGGGGAAGGCAAGGAAAGAAUUAGUGCACUCAGCUGAAAAAGUGAUGUGAGCACUGUAAAAGGUUGGAGCUGGCAUCUUACUAAGGAAGUCACUGACACAAAGCAGUUACAGGUACUGAAGGGCCCUCAGAAACAAAAUCAAGUAACUUCAGCUUCACUCAACAGAGAAGGGGCAGACAGAAAAGAUGCAGAGUUUUAACUAUUUUUAAUCAUUAUAAAAUAGCCUGUGUAAAAACAGUCAAAGCUAGCUGCAAUUAACUUUUUUUCAAUAUGCACAAGAUAGCCA